AUGCGGAAGAGAUGCGCCGACGAGAAGCAGCUGGUCCAGCUCAAGUUCGGCCUGCCGGACUGCCAGCCUCAGGCCCUGUUCGCGCUGUGCACCGGUGCCUCCUCCGACCCCACGCUCAAGGUGUACACGGCGAAGAACGUGACGGAGGAGCUGGAGCGGGCGAAGCGGGAGUUCCUGCAGGCCGGCGUGGUGGUGCGGAAGUCGAGGAAGGUGUUCCUGCCGCGCCUCGUGGAGCGGUACGCCAAGGAGGCCGGCCUCCCCGUCGGCGAUGGCAUCCUCGCGUGGGCGCGCGACAACUUGGACGGCCGGGCCGCGCAGGAGGCAAUCCAGCGGUGCGCCGCCGCCGCCGCCGCGGCAGGCGGCCGGCGCAGGGCGUCGCAGGCCUUCGAGUGGCUCCCGUACAACGCCAGGUUCCGCUACGCCUUCGCCAGGAGCAUGGUCGACAAACAAGCCGCCGCGGUGCUAGCCUAG
rnacentral:rRNA from 1 species